UUAGGGAAACCCUGGGAUUUAACCCUUCUAUAGUAUUAUUGGAUGGCAUCAUUUGAUAGUUAAAACUGAGUGGUAUAGGAUGGGCAUGCGUCUGAUUAGUUAGUUGCGGGGUAAUGGCCCACCAGACGAUGAUCAGUAGGGGUUCUGAGAGGAAGAUCCCCCACACUGGCACUGAGAUACGGGCCAGACUCCUACGGGAGGCAGCAGUAGGGAAUAUUGGUCAAUGGAUGCAAGUCUGAACCAGCCAUGCCGCGUGCAGGAAGAAGGCCUUCUGGGUUGUAAACUGCUUUUGCCAGGGGAUAAAAUUUCCAUGCGUGGAAAACUGAAGGUACCUGGUGAAUAAGCCACGGCUAACUACGUG
rnacentral:rRNA from 1 species